rnacentral:misc_RNA from 1 species
GAUGAAGAACGUAGCGAAAUGCGAUAAGUAAUGUGAAUUGCAGAAUUCAGUGAAUCAUCGAAUCUUUGAACGCACAUUGCGCCCCCCAGUAUUCUGGCGGGCAUGCCUGUUCGAGCGUCAUUUCAACCAUCAAGCCCUGCUUGUGUUGGGGUCCUGCGGCUGCCCGCAGGCCCUGAAAACCAGUGGCGGGCUCGCUAGUCACACCGAGCGCAGUAGCACAUCUCGCUCAGGGCGUGCGGCGGGCUCCAGCCGUUAAAGCACCCACCUUUCGCAAGGUUGACCUCGGAUCAGGUAGGGAUACCCGCUGAACUUAAGCAUAUCAAUAAGCGGAGGA